UCAGUGAAUCCAGACAUUUGACGGAAUCACUUUGCAUAGAGUACACGUUGAAAGAGCGUUGAAAAGUUCGCGGGAAAAUAAGUGAUAACGUAAAUAGCUUGUGAUUCGUUAAAAUGAAGUUCAAUAAUUUAUGUUUAAUAUUUAUCGUGCUUCUUUGUUUAGUUUCUUUUACUUAUACCCAUCCAGCACCGAGUGAGAGCAUUGAUUAUCUGGAAGCGCUGCGACGUAUAAAGCAGGUGCCGCAGUGGCACUGCUUGAGGUACCGUCGCUUCGAGCUGCACAGCCCUUGCAGCCGCUGGUGGAUCAUGAGGAGGCACUGACAAAGGCAACCUCACGUGCGUCGAUGGCGAAUGUUAGCUAGGUAUUGAUGGUCUUUGGAUUAUACUUCUAUUGUAUGUUAUUGUGAUAUUAAAAUAUUAAAGAUUUACUACAUUAAAAUCAUUAUAAAAUUGCAUAAUAGUGUAACAGUAAUUUCAUCUUUUUCAUAUUGUUACUGAACUGUAUUUAGACCUCUCAUGGUUUGACGUCACCAUUUGAUUAAAACAUAUGUGCGUUUGUUAUUAUAGUGUUUAGUCUAAUUAUUUGUAAUACUUUAGUUAAAAGAUAAAUGAAAUAAUUGUAAUGUGUUAUUACGUCUCUAAUAUUUAAAUACGUACUUAUUCAUAUUGUAAUAUUAGUUAUGUACUAUUACAAGUACAAUGUUAAAUUUAAAAAAAAUGAAAUAAACAUAUGAAUUUUGAAAACA